GGGGAUAACACCUGGAAACAGAUGCUAAUACCGCAUAACAACUUGGACCGCAUGGUCCGAGCUUGAAAGAUGGCUUCCCCUAUCACUUUUGGAUGGUCCCGCGGCGUAUUAGCUAGAUGGUGAGGUAACGGCUCACCAUGGCAAUGAUACGUAGCCGACCUGAGAGGGUAAUCGGCCACAUUGGGACUGAGACACGGCCCAAACUCCUACGGGAGGCAGCAGUAGGGAAUCUUCCACAAUGGACGAAAGUCUGAUGGAGCAACGCCGCGUGAGUGAAGAAGGGUUUCGGCUCGUAAAACUCUGUUGUUAAAGAAGAACAUAUCUGAGAGUAACUGUUCAGGUAUUGACGGUAUUUAACCAGAAAGCCACGGCUAACUACGUGCCAGCAGCCGCGGUAAUACGUAGGUGGCAAGCGUUGUCCGGAUUUAUUGGGCGUAAAGCGAGCGCAGGCGGUUUUUUAAGUCUGAUGUGAAAGCCUUCGGCUCAACCGAAGAAGUGCAUCGGAAACUGGGAAACUUGAGUGCAGAAGAGGACAGUGGAACUCCAUGUGUAGCGGUGAAAUGCGUAGAUAUAUGGAAGAACACCAGUGGCGAAGGCGGCUGUCUGGUCUGUAACUGACGCUGAGGCUCGAAAGUAUGGGUAGCAAACAGGAUUAGAUACCCUGGUAGUCCAUACCGUAAACGAUGAAUGCUAAGUGUUGGAGGGUUUCCGCCCUUCAGUGCUGCAGCUAACGCAUUAAGCAUUCCGCCUGGGGAGUACGGCCGCAAGGCUGAAACUCAAAGGAAUUGACGGGGGCCCGCACAAGCGGUGGAGCAUGUGGUUUAAUUCGAAGCUACGCGAAGAACCUUACCAGGUCUUGACAUACUAUGCAAAUCUAAGAGAUUAGACGUUCCCUUCGGGGACAUGGAUACAGGUGGUGCAUGGUUGUCGUCAGCUCGUGUCGUGAGAUGUUGGGUUAAGUCCCGCAACGAGCGCAACCCUUAUUAUCAGUUGCCAGCAUUAAGUUGGGCACUCUGGUGAGACUGCCGGUGACAAACCGGAGGAAGGUGGGGAUGACGUCAAAUCAUCAUGCCCCUUAUGACCUGGGCUACACACGUGCUACAAUGGAUGGUACAACGAGUUGCGAACUCGCGAGAGUAAGCUAAUCUCUUAAAGCCAUUCUCAGUUCGGAUUGUAGGCUGCAACUCGCCUACAUGAAGUCGGAAUCGCUAGUAAUCGCGGAUCAGCAUGCCGCGGUGAAUACGUUCCCGGGCCUUGUACACACCGCCCGUCACACCAUGAGAGUUUGUAACACCCAAAGUCGGUGG
rnacentral:rRNA from 2 species